GUAAAAUUGAAAAACGUGUAAAUAUUCAACUAAUCACAUAGGUACUAAGUUUAGUAACUCUUACUGAAACAAAUUGAAAAAUUGCUUCUAAGCGUUCGUUGUUAUUAUUCAUGUAAUACAAGAAUUAAAAUACACAAGUUACAAAACAAUAACUUAACAGUUAAUGAGACAAAUUUCUCACACGGCCUCUAUAUGGUCAAAUUCGUAACGCUUAAUAGUGACGGUAGUUUUGUACUACAAAAUGGUUAAAUUUCACGAAUCCGCGCUAAAUAUAUCUAACUAAGUAUAUUUGACCAUGAUAUUCAUAUUGCCUAAUGCACGAACCAUGUAAACAAAUUAAUAAAUGAUUAAUUUUCUAGUUCUGUCCUUAAGUUAACAACAAUGCGAAUAUGUGUCCAAAUGUUGCGUCCCUAAUAUUAUACCGACUAAACGAACGAGAUUUGGCAUUCCGCUGUAUGCCAAUGACAUUAAAUUCAAGAAUAAUUGAAACAUCGUCCCUAUUCAUGAUGGCAAUAUUGUGAAUACGUACUUCCAUUAUGGACAAAUGAUUACACCAUCAUCAUGGGGUACAAUGGUCCGUUGGUAAGGUUUUAAAUAUUGGCGGUCGGUCGAAUAACUGAGUAAUGGCGUACCAUAAUGAUGGUGGUUUAACAUCACACGAUACUAUACUGAUAAACAAAUAUUUACACCGCGCGCAUGACCUGCACCAUUACGUGGUGCAUAUACGGGGGUGCCAGGGGGUACUUAACACUUCCAGAUUUUGAGCUAAAUAUAAAAUACUCGAAUAGUAACGUAAAGUGCUGCACUUGAAAAUCCGAGUAUAGAGUUUCUGGUAACGACGUUGGUCGCAGAAACAAAACUAAACAUCAUUGUAAAGCCAAAGCUCCGCUCAGAAUUUAAAAGAAACAGAAAACUAUCGAAUUAUACGAAAAAAAAAAAAAAAUGAAAAUAUUUUCAUAUUUUUAUAUUGAAACUGGUUGUAACGCGACGUAAAUGUCCGCAGCAUUCCGCUUGAUUUUUACGUCAAACCAGAAAAAUAAUCAAAUGUUAUUAUUUCCGAACCAUGAUUAUUGUACGCGGUAUUAGAUUUGUAUGCACUUUUAAAAUAUAAAACGAAAUUCGUUUAGAUCGAGUUGCACGCGUACAAUCGCCGAAAUAUUGCGGAUAACGUAAUAAAACAUUCAACACGGUCAAUAACAUCACGCAAUGUUUUUCGAAGAAUAUUAUUUUUUCACGAUUCGAAAUCGAGUAAGACGUUCUCGGAGACUCGACUGUAAGUCGACACACUGUCCGUUAUAAUAUUAUUCGGAACCCGUUGUCGCGUACACAUUUCCGGUACAAGGCAAUUAACGUGUUAACAUGCAAAACCAACGCAAUUGCGUUCUUAUUGCAUGUAAAUCGUUCGAUGGGCAUUUAGAACGGUCCGAAUUUACUCGGCGGCCGCUCACGCCGAUGAAAAUAAUGAGACGCAAUUGGAUACCGGCGGUAGAUAAUUCAAUAACCGCCGCCGACGCGUCGCGGUGACACGUGGACACGUGUGCUCGCUAGUAUAUCAAAUUGUAAACGGUUAUUUUUGUUAAUCGCAAUCAGACGCGCGUAUAUUAUCGGCUCGGUCGACGACAUUCGAUUAGUUUAUUUUACCGCGUUGAAUUGCAAAUAUUACGAGCGCCUGUGUAACGAGCAAUGACGGUCGCCGCCGCAAUACACACGCAAUUACGAUCGCUCGAUUCGG
rnacentral:lncRNA from 1 species